AAGGGUAUAGUUUAAAAGGCAAAACUGUAAGCUUCAACCUUACACUUCUUAGUUCAAGUCUGAGUGCUCUUG
rnacentral:tRNA from 2 species